CCCUCUGCACCAUUGCCUAUCCCUCCUAAAAAAGUUUCGCAGCACACCCAUCCUUCCCACAAAAAACAAAAAAACAAAAAACAAACAAACAAACUAUCAGCCAAACCCAUACCUGCAACCCACGACCACCUCAAGCACAAAAUCAAACCUGAUAUCCCCCUUCCCCUUCUUGGACCUGCAACAACAGUCCAAUGGCUUCUUCAUUGGAGAGAAAAAGCCAUCCCAAAAUAAAUCAUGCUGAGCCUGAGGAUGAAAUUACAAAGGAAGAGGAAGAUGAAAGCUUCUGCUAUGCCAUCCAGCUGGUGGGUUCUUCUGUGCUGUCCAUGUCUCUGCAAUCAGCAAUUGAGCUUGGCGUUUUUGACAUCAUAGGCAAAGAGGGUCCAGGCGCCAAGCUCUCUUCAUCUGAGAUUGCAGCCAAGAUUGGCACCAAGAACCCUGAGGCACCUAUGAUGGUGGAUAGAAUCCUCAGGCUCCUCAUCAGCCACUCUGUUCUUAAUUGCUCUGCUGUUGCUGCUAAUGGUGGGUCUGAUUUUCAGAGGGUCUACAGCCUUGGCCCUGUGUCUAAGUACUUUGUGAAUGAUGAAGAAGGUGGUUCUUUGGGCCCCUUGUUGACAUUCAAUCAAGACAAGGUCUUCAUGGAAAGCUGGUCUCAAAUGAAAGCUGCAGUUGUUGAAGGAGGAAUUCCAUUUAACAGGGUCCAUGGCAUGCAAACUUUUGAGUUUCUAGGUUUGGACCCCAGGUUUAAUCAAGUGUUCAACACAGCAAUGUUUAAACCACACCACCAUUGUCAUCAAGAAACAUCUUCACAUCUACAAAGGGUUUUCAAGACAAGAACCUCACACAACUUGUUGAUGUUGGUGGUGGCUUUGGAGUGGCCCUUAAUCUGGUCACAUCUAGAUAUCCCCAUAUAAGGGGAAUCAAUUACGACUUGCCCCAUGUCGUAAAUCAUGCCCCUUCCUAUCCUGGUGUGGAACAUGUUGGAGGAGACAUGUUUGCUAGUGUUCCAAGUGGGGAUGCCAUUUUUAUGAAGAUGAUACUUCAUGAUUGGAGCGAUGAGCACUGCCUAAAGCUGUUGAAGAAUUGUUACAAUGCUACUCCAGACAAUGGAAAAGUGAUUGUUGUGGAAGCACUACUUCCAGCUAUGCCAGAUACUAGCACUGCUGUGAAAAGCACUUCCCAGUUUGAUGUGUUUAUGAUGACUCAAGUUCAGGGAGGGAAGGAGAGGAGUGAACAAGAACUCAUGGCCCUGGCAACUGGUGCUGGAUUUAGUGGCAUCAGAUAUGAAUGUUUUGUCUGUAACAUUUGGGUUAUGGAGUUCUUUAAGUAACCAAGGCAUAUGAAAACUCAU